rnacentral:rRNA from 1 species
UAAGGAAUAUUGGUCAAUGGACGCAAGUCUGAACCAGCCAUGCCGCGUGGAGGAUGAAGGUCCUCUGGAUUGUAAACUUCUUUUAUUUGGGAAGAAACCCCCGAUUUCUAUUGGGGUUGACGGUACCAGAUGAAUAAGCACCGGCUAACUCCGUGCCAGCAGCCGCGGUAAUACGGAGGGUGCAAGCGUUAUCCGGAUUCACUGGGUUUAAAGGGUGCGUAGGCGGGUUGGUAAGUCCGUGGUGAAAUCUCCAAGCUUAACUUGGAAACUGCCGUGGAUACUAUCAAUCUUGAAUAUAGUGGAGGUGAGCGGAAUAUGUCAUGUAGCGGUGAAAUGCUUAGAUAUGACAUAGAACACCCAUUGCGAAGGCAGCUCGCUACACUAUUAUUGACGCUGAGGCACGAAAGCGUGGGGAUCAAACAGGAUUAGAUACCCCCGUAGUCC